UUAUGCUUGUCCGCAGUGUCCCAGUUGUGGUUACUAACGUCAUAGCUCCUUUGAAAAUGCAAGGAUGUGUCCACGCUUCUGAAAACUGCUGGCCACACGCACCUUCUCAGUCAGGUUAACUGCAGCCAGAAGCGGCGGCAAAGACACUAAUGAAGCCCAUUCCAUUGAUCCCGGCGUUCUCUCCCCACACAGUGACUCGGUCUCUGAACUGGAGAUGGGUUUCAGCAGGAAGGGAUUGCAGCAUCCCUGAGCAGCGGGCCAUAAUUAUAAUUACAGGUGUGGCAGGCAAAGACAGCAGGAGAGGGUGAGCUCAUAAGAAACAAAGAUUCGCUCUGCUGGAUCAUCUAUCUUCACUGGAGAACAAAGAGCAGACGCAUAAAUAAGGGAGUUACCAUGUAAACAAAUUGAGCAACCACCAACACACAACAGAGUGCGUGUUCCUCAGCCAAUGUAUACACGCCUCUGUUACAGGAAGCUCUUGCCUGUUCCCUGGUAGAGUGCCCCUAGAAACUUCCAUCCAAGGUGGAGAGACAUUAUCAACUAAGGACUUGUAAUCGACUUGCAUCUCUUCCAUCAGCAAUGUCUGCCACAAGUGAAAAGGACAUGCUUGGAAUCUGCACCUUAAGCCACAGUUGGCUUUAUUCUUCUAGUUACACCGUUGUGGCCAUUGGACCUGAGGUGACUGAAAGAAUAGUAUCGUAUACUACUGAUGUGCUUACGCUGUUUGAGACUGGGUCCCGGAUGGGGAAAAGCUUGCAGAGAAAUCCAGAUACUGGUCUACGGGGAAGGUGUUUUCGAUGCCUUUAGUAUUCUGCUGGAACUGGAUUCAACUUCUUAUGCUGUCAAGAAGCUAGAUCAUUCAGAAACCAGCAAAGCCCUUGAAAACUGGACCAUCCGCUUCCUGUUUGCAAAGACAUAUAAGGACACAUUUCCAACUGGCUAUCUAACUGAGUUCUAGAAGAGGGAGAAAAUGCAAACAUCUCCAUUUAUGGAAUGAUAUAAUUAAGGAUUAUUAGAGUUUAAUUACUUACUAGGUUCCAUGAAAUGGCAAAACACGGAAUGUCAUUUUGUAUACUGUAAAUCUUUCUUCUACCAAUGGCUUCCAGGCAACAGCAUAAAUAUAUCUCUUUAUGCUCCUGAAGCUACUAUGUUGUCUUUCAGAUAUAGUGACAUUUUUGUGCUUGGAAUCUAAGCCUCUCAGUCUUAAAUGAACAAUUGCAGGAUUGUUGCAGGCUUCCUGCUUCUUCAUGGCUUACUCAAGCUUCCUCCUAUGAAAAAGUGCUUUACACAAAUAUCAAAUAAUUGGAGGGUUGAGGAGAGCCAUUAAAGGACUUUCUAUUUCUGUAUUCAUAUUUUCAAUGCUGAAAAAUAUCAUAUAAUAUUCUUCAAAUAAUAGAGGAGUUCUUUUAAAACAAACAAACAAACAAAAAGACCCUUCAAUGCUGUGAUUGUCCUGGCCUUUAAUAACAGGCCUCUGUGGGUGAUGACAAGAAGCCUUUAGGAUAUACCUAACGAGGCCUUUAAGCUUUCAUUGUUACUCAGUCCCACAAGAUCUGUCAUGUUUUAUUGGCUUUUCUGGUUAGUCAUUGUAUGGUUUGGCAGCGUAGUGGAAUUUCACAUUUUUGCAAACAAUAGUAUGAACAAAGAUUGGGCUUUUCUUUCUGCUAUGUAUUAUUUUAUUUGCUCUGAGUGUCCAGAAACCCUCCCAUAUAGCCAACCAAUUACAUAGCCUGUCUUGUAUGAGCCGUAUCCUUUUGAUCAGAGGUGUUAUAUUCAUGACAUUGACUCAUAGACUUUCCAGGUAGAAUGGUAUAGUGGAAUAUAUGGUAGGGAGUAAACACUGGGUUAGUGGCAUGGAAUAGAAGUUGCAGGGGCAGUCAUUCUAAAGGAGACAGACACCUGAUGAGAAUGACUUGACAAUGGAAAAUUUAUAAUUUGUUGUACCUUUCUGUGUGCCCAGAUGUGUAUAUAUGAUACAAAGUAGUUAGCGCUCUCUCUCUCUCUCUCUCUCUCUCUCUCUCUCUCUCUCUCUCUGUGUGUGUGUGUGUGUGUGUGUGUGUGUGGUGUGCCAACUUGUGCAGACCUGAUACACAGCUGAUUGAUUCUUUAGCAUACUGAAUGUAAGCAGUAGGACACUGGUACAUACAAUGUGUACAGCAUAGCAUAGACCCUCAGUAAAUAUUAACAAUCUUCCCAACCAAUGGACAGAAGCAGCUGACCCCUGUUGUUGAAUUAGAGAAGACUGAAAGAAGCUGAGG